AUAGCAAAAUACCCUUUGUCAUAAUGUCCAAACAGUAAGUUCAUUUCAUCCGUCAAGGUAACUUUAUCUCAAACAGCUAAUUGUAUGUUGAACAAUAAGGAACAGAUUACCAGACACUAUAAAUGACAGUUUGUGUAAUCCAUGUCAAGCAGUAACACUAUAUCAUACUAUUCAGGCAUUGUCGAAUUAUAUAAAGGUACACAUUCCUACACAAUGGUAGCAAUAUAUCACCACAGUCUGUCAAAUGGUUAGCUACUCUAUUAGCGCAAUACACUUACAUCUAUACAUCUCACUAUUCAUUACUUUUUCUCAACACUUUGGCAAACAGUUGUACAUAUUUGUAUUGAUGAGAGGCACCAAUGUUUGUUUUUCUUUGCAAAGUGCCAAACUACUAAUGAAAAAAAAAAGCAAAAAAAAAAACAGAUUUCGCAACCAUGACCGGUAACCGGUUGGCUAAUCCGGCUGAAAAGGGGACAUAUUCCGCCAUAACAGCACUUUCUCGGAAGCGGAGUCGAUCUACAAUGCUGCCUUGACCUGGAGUAGAAUCGAAGGUUUCAGGUCGCAAAAACUUAAUAUCAUCUCGUUCCCUGCAGCCGCUUGAGGAAAACGCCAAACGAUUCCAGCACUUCCAUCCAUAGGGGAAAGCAAAGGCUAGCGAGUUUUAUUGAGAUAUUGCUGGGGCGGCCUCCGGAAGAAUGCUGCUGGAGUAUACGGAAACAAUCAAGAAGAACUGGCUAUCAAGCUCCGAAGAGGGAUCCAUGAAUGAGGUAAACGGGCGAAGUGCAUAUCAGUACCGCGAUUUGAAAAACUGAUCGGCUCAAGUAGCAGCAGCCAGCCCAUACAUCUGGAUCCAGGAACGAUUUAUUCAGCGGAAGUCGGAGGUGUUUUUAAAUUACAUUAGAAUGUGUUUAAUGACUGCAAUCAGGUGAAAUAUCCAUCCAGUACGACACACUCUGACGGAGAGAGAGGGGUUCUAAAUGAUGAGAGGUGGUGGAGUCGGGAAAUUAAAAUAUGCCAUGGAUUUUUUUAGAGUUAUUGUACUUGAAUUAAAAUAUUUCUAGACGUA